rnacentral:rRNA from 1 species
UAGGGAAUCUUCGGCAAUGGACGAAAGUCUGACCGAGCAACGCCGCGUGAGUGAAGAAGGUUUUCGGAUCGUAAAACUCUGUUGUUAGAGAAGAACAAGGGUGAGAGUAACUGUCACCCUUGACGGUAUCUAACCAGAAAGCCACGGCUAACUACGUGCC